CCGCACAAGCGGUGGAGCAUGUGGUUAAUUCGAUGAUACGCGAAGAACCUUACCGGGUUUGACAUGCAGGUGAUCGCCGUUGAAAGACGGUUUCCUCUUCGGAGGCACCUGCACAGGUGCUGCAUGGCUGUCGUCAGCUCGUGUCGUGAGAUGUUGGGUUAAGUCCCGCAACGAGCGCAACCCUUAUCCCCAGUUGCCAUCAGGUAAAGCUGGGAACUCUGGGGAGACUGCCGGUGAUAAACCGGGGAAGGCGGGGAUGACGUCAAGUCCUCAUGGCCCUUACAUCCCGGGCUACACACGUGCUACAAUGGCAGGUACAGAGGGCUGCGAAGCCGCGAGGUGGAGCGAAUCCCAGAAAACCUGUCUCAGUCCGGAUUGAAGUCUGCAACUCGACUUCAUGAAGGCGGAAUCGCUAGUAACCGCGAAUCAGCAGGUCGCGGUGAAUACGUUCCCGGGCCUU
rnacentral:rRNA from 1 species